rnacentral:rRNA from 1 species
AUUGAACGCUGGCGGCAGGCCUAACACAUGCAAGUCGAACGAGUGGCGGACGGGUGAGUAAUGUCUGGGAAACUGCCCGAGGGAGGGGGAUAACUAGUGGAAACGGGAGCUAAUACCGCAUACCAUCGGAUGUGCCCAGAUGGGAUUAGCUAGUGGGUGGGUGAACGGCUCACCUAGGAGACGAUCCCUAGCUGGUCUGAGGGGAUGACCAGCCACACUGGAACUGAGACACGGUCCAGACUCCUACGGGAGGCAGCAUUGGGGAAUAUUGCACAAUGGGCGCAAGCCUGAUGCAGCCAUGCCGCGUGUAUGAAGAAGGCCUUCGGGUUGUAAAGUACUUUCAGCGAGGAGGCGUUACUCGCAGAAGAAGCACCGGCUAACUCCGUGCCAGCAGCCGCGGUAAUUC